CUGUGAAUUCAGAUGCAGUCAAGAAAUACUUUGCCUAAAAAAAAAGAGUAUAUGCAAAUGAAAAACAGAAUAGCUCGCUAAGUUGAAAACUCGAAAGGGCGGCUUAGGCAAAAAUGAGUGUCUCGGUGGAGAACCCGCAAAGGUAAUCCACGCAAAAAUUAGAGACUAAAAAAAAGGUAUAUUUGCAUCCCGCUAGAUUGAG
rnacentral:lncRNA from 1 species